rnacentral:rRNA from 1 species
AUUGCACGCUGGCGGCAGGCCUAACACAUGCAAGUCGAGCGAGCGGAGGACGGGUGAGUAAUGUAUGGGGACUGACCGAUAGAGGGGGAUAACUACUGGAAACGGUGGCUAAUACCGCAUACUGUCGGAUAACCCAUAUGGGAUUAGCUAGUAGGUAAGGGACUGGCUACCCUAGUCGACGCACCCUAGCUGGGCUGAAAGGAUGAUCAGCCACACUGGUACUGUGACACGGCCCAGACUCCUACGGAGGAAGCAGUGGGGAAUAUUGGACAAGUGGGGCAAGCCUGAUGCAGCCCUGCCGUGUGUAUGAAGAAGGCCCUAGGGUUGUAAAGUACUUUCAGUCGGGAGGCGUUACCGACAGAAGAAGCACCGGCUAACUCCGUGCCAGCAGCCGCGGUAAUUC